rnacentral:rRNA from 1 species
AACGAACGCUGGCGGCAUGCCUAACACAUGCAAGUCGAACGAGACCUUCGGGUCUAGUGGCGCACGGGUGCGUAACGCGUGGGAACCUGCCUUUAGGUUCGGCAUAACUCCCCGAAAGGGGUGCUAAUACCGGAUAUUGACUUCGGACCAAAGAUUUAUAGCCUUUGGAUGGGCUCGCGUUGGAUUAGCUAGUUGGUAGGGUAAAACGCUACCAAGGCGUCGAUCCAUAGCUGGUCUGAGAGGCUGAUCAGCCACACUGGGACUGAGACACGGCCCAGACUCCUGCGGGAGGCAGCAGUGGGGAAUAUUGGACAAGGGGCGAUAGCCUGAUCCAGCAAUGCCGCGUGAGUGAUGAAGGCCUUAGGGUUGUAAAGCUCGUUUACCCGGGAUGAUAAUGACAUUACCGGGAGAAUAAGCACCGGCUAACUCCGUG